UACGGAGGAUCCAAGCGUUAUCCGGAUUUAUUGGGUUUAAAGGGUGCGUAGGCGGUUUUAUAAGUUAGAGGUGAAAAUUCGGGGCUCAACUCCGGACGUGCCUCUAAUACUGUAAGACUCGAGUUCAGACGAGGUAGGCGGAAUAAGUUAAGUAGCGGUGAAAUGCUUAGAUAUAACUUAGAACUCCGAUAGCGAAGGCAGCUUACCAGACUGCGACUGACGCUGAAGCACGAGAGCGUGGGUAGCGAACAGG
rnacentral:rRNA from 1 species